AGAGUUUGAUCCUGGCUCAGGAUGAACGCUGGCGGCGUGCUUAACACAUGCAAGUCGAGCGGAGAAAUAGAAAGGAAUCCCUUCGGGGAGAAAUUCCUAUUUCUUAGCGGCGGACGGGUGCGUAACACGUGGGUAACCUGCCCUUAUCACCGGAAUAACACACUGAAAAGUGUGCUAAUACCGGAUAACAUCAUCUUAUGGCAUCAUAGGAUGAUCAAAGCGUUAGCGGAUAAGGAUGGGCCCGCGUCUGAUUAGCUAGUUGGUAGGGUAACGGCCUACCAAGGCAACGAUUAGUAGCCGACCUGAGAGGGUGAUCGGCCACACUGGAACUGAGACACGGUCCAGACUCCUACGGGAGGCAGCAGUGGGGAAUAUUGCACAAUGGGCGAAAGCCUGAUGCAGCAACGCCGCGUGAGCGAUGAAGGCCUUCGGGUCGUAAAGCUCUGUCCUAUGGGAAGAUAAUGACGGUACCAUAGGAGGAAGCCCCGGCUAACUACGUGCCAGCAGCCGCGGUAAUACGUAGGGGGCAAGCGUUAUCCGGAAUCACUGGGCGUAAAGCGCGCGUAGGUGGUCUAGUAAGUCAGAUGUUAAAAUGCGGGGCUCAACCCCGUAAUGCAUUUGAAACUGCUGGACUUGAGGACAGGAGAGGAAAGUGGAAUUCCUAGUGUAGCGGUGAAAUGCGUAGAUAUUAGGAGGAACACCAGUGGCGAAGGCGACUUUCUGGACUGUACCUGACACUGAGGUGCGAAAGCGUGGGGAGCAAACAGGAUUAGAUACCCUGGUAGUCCACGCCGUAAACGAUGGGUACUAGGUGUAGGGGGUUUAGAUACCUUCUGUGCCGCAGUUAACGCAUUAAGUACCCCGCCUGGGGAGUACGAUCGCAAGAUUGAAACUCAAAGGAAUUGACGGGGGCCCGCACAAGCAGCGGAGCAUGUGGUUUAAUUCGAAGCAACGCGAAGAACCUUACCAGGACUUGACAUCCUCUGAAGCUAUUAGAGAUAAUAGUGUCCCUUCGGGGCAGAGAGACAGGUGGUGCAUGGUUGUCGUCAGCUCGUGUCGUGAGAUGUUGGGUUAAGUCCCGCAACGAGCGCAACCCUUAUCCUUAGUUGCCAGCAAGUAAUGUUGGGCACUCUAGGGAGACUGCCGGUGAUAAACCGGAGGAAGGUGGGGAUGACGUCAAAUCAUCAUGCCCCUUAUGUCCUGGGCUACACACGUGCUACAAUGGCCUGAACAACGGGAAGCUAAGGAGUGAUCUGGAGCAAAUCCCUAAAAACAGGUCUCAGUUCGGAUUGUAGGCUGCAACUCGCCUACAUGAAGUCGGAGUUGCUAGUAAUCGUGGAUCAGAAUGUCACGGUGAAUGCGUUCCCGGGCCUUGUACACACCGCCCGUCACACCACGAAAGUUUACAACACCCGAAGCCGGUGGGCUAACCGCAAGGAGGCAGCCGUCGAAGGUGGGUAGAUGAUUGGGGUUAAGUCGUAACAAGGUAACC
rnacentral:rRNA from 1 species